AAGUUUUGUUUGUAAUUAAUUUCAGAUCACAAUGGGGGUGCUUGCAGCAAUCACCGUGAAUAUUAUCGGAGGCACCGUAAUCUACGGUACGGGAGGACUAUUGGCGCCUAUAGUGGCACCGUUGUUGGGUUUCAGUAGCACUGGCAUCGCUGCAGGCUCCGUGGCUGCAACUGCGCAGGCCUACUAUGGAAACGUGGUCGCCGGCUCCAUUAUAUCACAGCUUACGGCCGCAGCUAUGCUAGCCCCUACACCUUGAACUUUCACAACAUUCACCAUAUUUCAGCGAAAAUGUGAAAUAAAGGUUUGAAGUGCAAUGGAU